GGAAGUGUACCCAAGCGGUUAAGGGGACGGUCUUGAAAACCGAUAGCCGAGAAAUCGGGCGUGGGUUCAAAUCCUACCACUUCCGCCA
rnacentral:tRNA from 1 species